rnacentral:other from 1 species
CGUUCUCUACCAUGAACGACAGCGUGUGCAAACAUAUUACCUUGUCCCUUAUAAACGACAUCGGGGACGCGACGAUGCCGGGGGUGCAGGUCCGCCAUGUAGCGGAAAGCCCAAUGGCCUAUUAGCGUUCCCACUUGAACCACAGGUUCAAGGUCGUUUCACAUGCAUCGUCAUGGUGGAGAAUGU